UACGUAGGGCGCAAGCGUUAUCCGGAAUUAUUGGGCGUAAAGAGCUCUGUGAGCGGUUUGUCGCGUCUGCUGUGAAAUUUCGGGGCUCAACCCCGAACUUGCAGUGGGUACGGGCAGACUAGAGUGUGGUAGGGGAGACUGGAAUUCCUGGUGUAGCGGUGAAAUGCGCAGAUAUCAGGAGGAACACCGGUGGCGAAGGCGGGUCUCUGGGCCGUAACUGACGCUGAGGAGCGAAAGCGUGGGGAGCGAACAGG
rnacentral:rRNA from 1 species